AAUAAACCCUGAGUUUUCAUGUACAACGUUUGACCGUUCGUCUUAUUUGAAAAAGUUAUGAAAAAAAAUUUAAAAAAGCAAGUCAUGCAUAAAGUAUUAAUUAUGUUUUAUCAUCUAACAACAAUAAAAAUACUAAUUAUAAAAAAUUCUAUAUAAAACGGACAGUCAAACGUUAAAUACGGAAACUUAGGGUUUGUUUUUUU
rfam:Oryza nivara chromosome 2, whole genome shotgun sequence.